GACUAAAAAAAUGAGAUUAGUCAGAAAAGAAACCAGCACCCCAAGGAGUGUUCUAGCAGCAGAAUAUUUGGAUAACGGGUUCAGAUGUUGCUUACUUGCUCUUUGGAACAGGUUAAAUACAAAUGCAACAAUUUACAUGACAUAAAUAUGCAAGACCUGUGUGUUUUGGCUUGUUUUUCAGAUGGGGAUUAACGUGGUGGACUCUGCAGUAUCGGGAUUAGGUGGCUGCCCUUAUGCAAAAGGUGCUUCUGGAAAUGUAGCCACCGAGGAUUUGAUAUAUAUGCUUAACGGCCUGGGGCUCAAUACAGGUGUGAAUCUUUACAAAGUGAUGGAAGCUGGUAACUUUAUUUGCAAAGCUGUGAAUAAAACCACAAACUCUAAAGUAGCACAAGCCUCCUUCAAUGCUUGACUUAAAUGAAUUUGUGACUUAACGCUGAGAAGAUCCCUUUCAGCUACAGAUAUUCAUCUGAAAAUCAUUAGUGUCAAUUUGUUCUGAAAUCUGAAGUAAUAGACAAGAGUGGGAAAAAUAAAAAGAUACUUUUAAAAGAACUGGAUACAUUUCGAAGUCAACAGAAAUACCAGCCAUCAGGUAAAUUGCAAGCUGAAGCUAAAUAAUAAAAUUUGUAGACAUGCUUUUGAA